UACGUAGGGUGCGAGCGUUAAUCGGAAUUACUGGGCGUAAAGCGUGCGCAGGCGGGCCUUUAAGUCAGACGUGAAAUCCCCGGGCUUAACCUGGGAAUGGCGUUUGGGACUGGGAGUCUGGAGUGCGGCAGAGGAGACUGGAAUUCCUGGUGUAGCAGUGAAAUGCGUAGAUAUCAGGAGGAACACCAAUUGCGAAGGCAGCUCGCUGGGACGUUACUGACGCUGAGACGCGAAAGCGUGGGGAGCAAACAGG
rnacentral:rRNA from 1 species